GAUGAACGCUGGCGGCGUGCCUAAUACAUGCAAGUCGAGCGAACAGACGAGGAGCUUGCUCCUCUGACGUUAGCGGCGGACGGGUGAGUAACACGUGGAUAACCUACCUAUAAGACUGGGAUAACGUCGGGAAACCGGAGCUAAUACCGGAUAAUAUAUUGAACCGCAUGGUUCAAUAGUGAAAGACGGUUUUGCUGUCACUUAUAGAUGGAUCCGCGCCGCAUUAGCUAGUUGGUAAGGUAACGGCUUACCAAGGCGACGAUGCGUAGCCGACCUGAGAGGGUGAUCGGCCACACUGGAACUGAGACACGGUCCAGAGUCCUACGGGAGGCAGCAGUAGGGAAUCUUCCGCAAAGGGCGAAAGCCUGACGGAGCAACGCCGCGUGAGUGAUGAAGGUCUUCGGAUCGUAAAACUCUGUUAUUAGGGAAGAACAAAUGUGUAAGUAACUAUGCACGUCUUGACGGUACCUAAUCAGAAAGCCACGGCUAACUACGUG
rnacentral:rRNA from 1 species